rnacentral:rRNA from 1 species
GAUGAACGCUAGCGGCAGGCCUAAUACAUGCAAGUCGAACGGAAUAUAGUUUUCGGAUUAUAUUUAGUGGCGCACGGGUGAGUAACACGUACAUAACUUACCCUCAAGAGGGGGAUAGCCUUGGGAAACUGAGCGUAAUACCCCAUAGUAUUAUUGAACGGCAUCGUUUGAUAAUUAAAGCUACGGCGCUUGAGGAUAGAUGUGCGUCUGAUUAGCUAGUUGGUAAGGUAACGGCUUACCAAGGCGACGAUCAGUAGGGGGCGUGAGAGCGUGGCCCCCCCACACGGGUACUGAGACACGGACCCGACUCCUACGGGAGGCAGCAGUAAGGAAUAUUGGUCAAUGCCCGGAAGGGUGAACCAGCCAUGCCGCGUGAAGGAUGACUGCCCUCUGGGUUGUAAACUUCUUUUGGAUGGGACGAAAAAACGGGNUUUAUCCUGGACUGACGGUACCAUCAGAAUAAAGCACCGGCUAACUCCGUGCCAGCAGCCGCGGUAAUGUAGUCGUG